rnacentral:rRNA from 1 species
UCGGAGGCAGCAGUAAGGAAUCUUCGGCAAUGGACGAAAGUCUGACCGAGCAACGCCGCGUGAGGGAUGAAGGCCUUCGGGUUGUAAACCUCUGUCUAGUGGAACGAUAAUGACGGUACCACUGGAGGAAGCCACGGCUAACUACGUGCCAGCAGCCGCGGUAAUACGUAGGUGGCGAGCGUUGUCCGGAAUUAUUGGGCGUAAAGGGCGCGUAGGUGGUCUUUUAAGUCAGAUGUGAAAACGUGGGGCUUAACUUCACGAUUGCAUUUGAAACUGGGAGACUUGAGGGCAGGAGAGGAAAGCGGAAUUCCCAGUGUAGCGGUGAAAUGCGUAGAGAUUGGGAAGAACACCAGUGGCGAAGGCGGCUUUCUGGACUGUUUCUGACGCUGGUGCGCGAAAGCUAGGGGAGCGAACGGGAUUAGAUACCCGAGUA